rfam:Myotis lucifugus cont2.8841, whole genome shotgun sequence.
GGCAGUUCUUGGGUGAUGCACCCUGGAAUCAGGCUCCCUCCUCUCUGGUUCUAGGUGUAUCACCUGAGUACUGUA